rnacentral:rRNA from 1 species
UACAGAGGUCUCAAGCGUUGUUCGGAAUUACUGGGCGUAAAGGGCGCGUAGGCGGUGUGUCAAGUCAGGCGUGAAAGCCCCGGGCUCAACCUGGGAACCGCGCCUGAGACUGGCACGCUCGAGUUCGGGAGAGGAUGGUGGAAUUCCCAGUGUAGAGGUGAAAUUCGUAGAUAUUGGGAAGAACACCGAUGGCGAAGGCAGCCAUCUGGACCGACACUGACGCUGAGGCGCGAAAGCGUGGGGAGCAAACAGG